GGCGAGCGGCGGACGGGUGAGGAAUACAUCGGAAUCUACCUUGUCGUGGGGGAUAACGUAGGGAAACUUACGCUAAUACCGCAUACGAACUACGGUUGAAAGCGGAGGACCGCAAGGCUUCGCGCGAUUGGAUGAGCCGAUGUCGGAUUAGCUAGUUGGCGGGGUAAU
rnacentral:rRNA from 1 species